rnacentral:ncRNA from 1 species
CAAGAACAGGUAAAUGACGGGAGUAACCAUGAAUCUCUUAAGGUGUUCAUAUGGGUCGUCAUCUAAUUAAUGACAUUCAUGAAUGGAUUAACAAUAUUCCCAUUGUCCCUAGCUACUAUCUAUAGAAACCACAUCCAACAGAUAUUAG